rnacentral:rRNA from 1 species
AUAUCUUUCAGCGAUGGAUGGCUCGGAUUUCAUAACGAUGAAGAACGUAGCUAGCUGCGAAAUGCAGUGUGACAUGCAAACUUCUGUGAAUCAUUAGAUUUUUGAACGCAAAAGGUACUUCUAAAUUCUGGGAGUAUGUUUAGUUCAGUGCUUUU